UAGGGAAUCUUCGGCAAUGGACGAAAGUCUGACCGAGCAACGCCGCGUGAGUGAAGAAGGUUUUCGGAUCGUAAAACUCUGUUGUUAGAGAAGAACAAGGAUGAAAGUAAAACGUUCAUCCCUUGACGGUAUCUAACCAGAAAGCCACGGCUAACUACGUGCCAGCAGCCGCGGUAAUACGUAGGUGGCAAGCGUUGUCCGGAUUUAUUGGGCGUAAAGCGAGCGCAGGCGGUUUCUUAAGUCUGAUGUGAAAGCCCCCGGCUCAACCGGGGAGGGUCAUUGGAAACUGGGAAACUUGAGUGCAGAAGAGGAGAGUGGAAUUCCAUGUGUAGCGGUGAAAUGCGUAGAUAUAUGGAGGAACACCAGUGGCGAAGGCGGCUCUCUGGUCUGUAACUGACGCUGAGGCUCGAAAGCGUGGGGAGCAAACA
rnacentral:rRNA from 1 species